CAGUAGCCGCGGGAAUACGUAGGGUGCAAGCGUUAAUCGGAAUUACUGGGCGUAAAGCGUGCGCAGGCGGUUUGUCAAGACAGAUGUGAAAUCCCCGGGCUCAACCUGGGAACUGCAUUUGUGACUGGCAAGCUAGAGUCUGGCAGAGGGGGGUGGAAUUCCGCGUGUAGCAGUGAAAUGCGUAGAUAUGCGGAGGAACACCGAUGGCGAAGGCAGCCCCCUGGGCCAACACUGACGCUCAUGCACGAAAGCGUGGGGAGCAAACAGGAUUAGAUACCCCAGUAGUCCCUGUCUCUUAUAC
rnacentral:rRNA from 1 species